UACGUAGGGGGCGAGCGUUGUCCGGAAUCACUGGGCGUAAAGGGUGCGUAGGCGGCUUGUUAAGUCCUGUGUGAAAUCUCCCGGCUCAACCGGGAGGGGUCAUGGGAAACUGGCAGGCUGGAGUGCCGGAGAGGGUCGCGGAAUUCCAGGUGUAGCGGUGGAAUGCGUAGAUAUCUGGAGGAACACCAGUGGCGAGGGCGGCGACCUGGACGGUAACUGACGCUGAGGCACGAAAGCUGGGGGAGCGAACAGG
rnacentral:rRNA from 1 species